GGAGGGAUGUGACCUAACUGCAUUGCUCUGAGGCAUUCAUCUCGUUCUGAACCACGGGGUGUUAGAGAAAAUCAAUGCCUCUGGUCUGGUUAUUAGUUGGUCUUGAGCUUCCUAGAGAACUCUUGGAGCCCUGAGCUGACAUCUUUGCUGGAGGUUGACAGCUAGAAUAAGAUGUUGAAGUGAUGAAUGUGAAGAGGAGCACAUCCCUUUAAGGGCCAUUUGACUGAGUGAUUCAUGUGACUCCAGCACUCAGGAAGAAAAUAGACACUGCUUCACCUUUAAGUCCAGUUUGGCCUGGAGUCAAUGGCAGCAGAAUUGUUUUCCAAGGGCAGCAGCCUUACAAGGGGUGCUGACCUGACAAAGGUCAUUGGAGAAUCUAGUCGGUGACAGCUGGGUCGUGUCUGGAGGUUCCUCAGAAGUAAUUCUCCCUGCCUAGAAGGACAAGGUUGAGAAAGGCAUGAUGAAGACUUAACUUUGAGCAAAAAUAGGAAUAAAACUGUGGUGAAGAUGUUAUCACUGGAACUGCUCUUGCUUCCCUACCAACCCUGGCCAUGGUGAUUCCAAGAUGGAAGUCUGUGCAGGAGGAGGGAACUAAGGGGUCAGUGCUGCUGAAAUAAGGAUCCACACCAGCCUCAUCAUUCUGAGCCUUGGCUCCACCCAACUGUUCUGCCCCAGAUACAUGACAUCUAGUGGCAGGAAGACAUGGUUUUCCACUGCUGCUAAAGCCAGUCAGCACACAUCAAAGUUAGCCAGGGAUGGAUAAGUUGACACUUGUUGUCCAGACACAAUUAUUAAGAGUGCCAUUUUCUCCUUUCAGAGUUUAACAGAUUGGGUGAUGCAUUGCAUGGUUGGCCUACUAAAUGUCCUUUUGUAGCUCUCCAUCUAUGAGGUGACCUAACACUUAUACUUUUAGCCUGUACUGUGAGUUUGAGGCAAUGAGUUCCGGAAGAUUAUUCUCCACUGUGUAAAGUAAUACUGACUUUUAUCUAUCUUGAAAUUAUCCUUCAAGCAUUAGGGGAUUGGUCUCAGUUGUGAAUGAGCUCAUUUUCAUGCUUUUAGAGAUUUUAAUCUUAUCGACACGAGGCCUUUAUCCAUCCAGAUGGAAGGCCCUAAUCUUAAAGUCUAUUCCCAGAGACCUCCCUCCUCUGAUCAUUAGCUGCCCUUGUUAAUCAGGCUAUGGUAGCGUUUGGAGGAGACUCGUCUGCCCAUUUGAAAAGUGAUUAUAAUGGUUUGUCCUUUCAGGCACUGAUGAAAGGCCAUCUGGUAGGAGCAGGGCUUUCCAGCUGUAUUACAAUUUUUUUUAAUUAAACAUUUUGACCAUGCAGAGAAUGAAGGACAGAGACCCUGCCUAGGCAGGCUGUAGUCAGCCCUCUGUUAUGCUUGCAGGAAGAAGACAGAAGGGACAAAAGGGAAGGAGGAAGAAAUCAAAGAGAAAAGGAAGGAAAAAAGAAAGAUCAAUGCACAUCAUUAGGAAAUUAUAAUUCAAAACACUAUUUAUAAGCCGAAAAAGAAUUGUGCUUUUUUUGUUUCACACCCCUGGCCUGAACCUGGAAGACCAAAUAUUCUAAGUGAUUUUUGAAGUUCCCUAGAUGGGUGCAUUGAAGUGGACAUGGUGAUUUCUUCCUUUCUAAGAACAGGAAUUUUACAGGAAAAAAAAGUACUCAAGAGUAAUAGAAGUAGUUAAGGGAACGUUUUGUAAUAGGCUAUCUUAUGUUUGUACUUUGUAUUUACUGUUUGGAAGUUAGAUUCCAGUAAAACAAGAUGUAUGAGUGCCUCCCAUGUGUGAGGUGUUUGCUGGCACUGAAAAUAGAUAAGAUGGAUCUAAUUUCAGCUCUUGUUAUUUCAGACAUUACGAUUUGUUUUCUUGUGGAACAUCAAGACAAUAUAAUAAAUUGCAGCCCUCCUGCUGAUUUUACCUGUUUCUAUUUUAUUCUCAUGCAAAAAUUAUUCACUUGCCUCCUUACUGUUGCAAGAACUUUCAAGUAUUUAGGAAGCUCAGUUCUUCCUCUUCAGAAAUCUUUAAUUCGUUGAGGAAACAGAUGAAAUAUGACAUGUAUAUUUAUUUUGUGUACUAUUUGGACCCCAAUCAUCUGGAGCUGCUGGACAUUUGUCAUAGGCUGGACUGAAGUUCAACUUUAUUUUAUCUUUGACCAAAGAGCUUACUAAA